UGGGGCAUCGUCUAAUGGUAGGACAGCGGUUUUUGGUGCCGCUAGUAGGGGUUCGACUCCCUUUGCCCCAGCCA
rnacentral:tRNA from 1 species